AUGAACGCUGGCGGCGUGCUUAACACAUGCAAGUCGAACGAAGCACUUUAUUUGAUUUCCUUCGGGACUGAUUAUUUUGUGACUGAGUGGCGGACGGGUGAGUAACGCGUGGGUAACCUGCCUUGUACAGGGGGAUAACAGUUGGAAACGGCUGCUAAUACCGCAUAAGCGCACAGCAUCGCAUGAUGCAGUGUGAAAAACUCCGGUGGUAUAAGAUGGACCCGCGUUGGAUUAGCUAGUUGGUGAGGUAACGGCCCACCAAGGCGACGAUCCAUAGCCGACCUGAGAGGGUGACCGGCCACAUUGGGACUGAGACACGGCCCAAACUCCUACGGGAGGCAGCAGUGGGGAAUAUUGCACAAUGGGCGAAAGCCUGAUGCAGCGACGCCGCGUGAGCGAAGAAAUAUUUCGGUAUGUAAAGCUCUAUCAGCAGGGAAGAUAAUGACGGUACCUGACUAAGAAGCACCGGCUAAAUACGUGCCAGCAGCCGCGGUAAUACGUAUGGUGCAAGCGUUAUCCGGAUUUACUGGGUGUAAAGGGAGCGCAGGCGGUGCGGCAAGUCUGAUGUGAAAGCCCGGGGCUCAACCCCGGUACUGCAUUGGAAACUGUCGUACUAGAGUGUCGGAGGGGUAAGCGGAAUUCCUAGUGUAGCGGUGAAAUGCGUAGAUAUUAGGAGGAACACCAGUGGCGAAGGCGGCUUACUGGACGAUAACUGACGCUGAGGCUCGAAAGCGUGGGGAGCAAACAGGAUUAGAUACCCUGGUAGUCCACGCAGUAAACGAUGAAUACUAACUGUUUGCGAUACAAUGUAAGCGGUACAGCGAAAGCGUUAAGUAUUCCACCUGGGGAGUACGCCGGCAACGGUGAAACUCAAAGGAAUUGACGGGGGCCCGCACAAGCAGUGGAGUAUGUGGUUUAAUUCGAAGCAACGCGAAGAACCUUACCAGGUCUUGACAUCCUACUAACGAGAUAGAGAUAUGUUAGGUGCCCUUCGGGGAAAGUUGAGACAGGUGGUGCAUGGUUGUCGUCAGCUCGUGUCGUGAGAUGUUGGGUUAAGUCCCGCAACGAGCGCAACCCUUAUCUUUAGUAGCCAGCGGUCAGGCCGGGCACUCUAGAGAGACUGCCAGGGAUAACCUGGAGGAAGGCGGGGAUGACGUCAAAUCAUCAUGCCCCUUAUGACUUGGGCUACACACGUACUACAAUGGCGUUAAACAAAGAGAAGCAAGACCGCGAGGUGGAGCAAAACUCAGAAACAACGUCCCAGUUCGGACUGCAGGCUGCAACUCGCCUGCACGAAGUCGGAAUUGCUAGUAAUCGUGGAUCAGCAUGCCACGGUGAAUACGUUCCCGGGCCUUGUACACACCGCCCGUCACACCAUGAGAGCCGGGGGGACCCGAAGUCGGUAGUCUAACCGCAAGGAGGACGCCGCCGAAGGUAAAACUGGUGAUUGGGGUG
rnacentral:rRNA from 1 species